UACUUAGAUAUUUAUUUGCGAGUAAUUAAUUAACGUACCCAGGUCUUGUUGUACAUGCCGAUGGUGAGGUUGGUGGGCACGGGAAAGCCGAACUGGUUGAUGCCGUAGCCCUGGAUCCUGGCCAUCUGCGGCAGCGGGUCCACGUACUUGGGUAGGUCCGCCGUGCUCCUCAACGGCCUCGCCGCCGUCGGCGACGGAUCUGCCGCCGGCGUGUAGUCGUCGGGGUCAUCUGACGCCCAACCCCAGCGACUUUUGCUGAUCACGCUGCAGAUGUAGCUAGGGAUCAACGAAUCACUCUUACAGUUAAGUAUUGACAUCACUGUAUCCCACUGAGUUUGGUAGUUUUUUGCUGCUGCAGGUUCAUCCCUGGCGGCUGCGACGACGACGACAGCCGCCAGCAACAUAGCGGCCAGCUGCUGAAUCCUCGGACCCAUCUGCACACGUACGCAAUAAUCAACAAUACAAACAUCAGUUCAUUCAUUUACAAUAGUUUGAUUGUGUUCUAAGUUAAUCUCUAACCAUAUCAUGCAGCAAUGUCGUAAUUAAUGUCUCAGUUUCUCACCUUAGCUAGCAGCGUCCGAGCUUGGAGAGGGGCAUGCAAAGGAUAAUUAACCGAGGAGAAAGAAAGAUUAGCUAGCUAAGACAAUGACGAUCGAUGUGUGAGCGUGUGGCUAACACACACGAGCCACACGACUGAUGCUCUUGGCAAUCUGAGAGGGUUGCUAUUUAUAGGAUUAUUAUUACUGUAGUUUGAACAGGUAAACGGUCAAUUAAUCGUGCAGGUCAGUGACAUGCAUGCAUCGACGCUAAUUGGCCGAAUAAUUUGUUGGAUUUGGCCAACACAUCAACCUAAACUAAGUAGAGAAAUUGGAUGCGAGUUUCUACACACAACAUUUUAAAUCCAGAGAGCUUCCUCUGCAUGACCCAACUAGCUAGCUAGUUAAUUAAUUAAGCUCUGCGAGAUUAUAUAUAGUCAACACUUGAACAUAGAUAUUCAGCAGCUGCUAGCUGGUCCUUUUGAACAGUUUCUUAAUCAAUCACUGUUUACUUAUAUAUAGUUUGUCCUAAUCUUGGCUGUUUCCUCGUACGGCAGGAAAUAAUACUACAUAAUUACAGUCACACACACAUCCAUCGUACUCCGCCCAUGUGACAUACAUUUACUUCUUCCUUCAUGUUAAAAAAAAGUUUUUCCGGAUUUUAAGUUUUAUUCGCAUAUAUAAGUAUUUUUUAAUAUGGAUUUCAAUGCAUGGAAAUCCAUAUAUUUUCAGCCAAACAAUUGAAAUUUAAAAUUUGAUAUCUGAGAUACUAAAAGGAAACCUUUGCUAUAAUUAAAUCAACAUCCUGGUAUCUAACGUUGAUAUCAUCCAACAGUCCUUUGAAAGGCCUGCUUCUCUCUAUAUCUGAGUUAACAAAACCGAUCUUUUUUUUUUCUUUUAAGAAAUUAACCGCUCAAUUUUUUGAAACUGUCGGUGACCGGUUUGUAAAAGUCAAUUAUUGGUUUUAGCCUUUUUACUAAGCUGGCCGAGAGUUGUUGGUAACGCGGUGAGGAGUGGUUUUAAAUUGCAAAGCGAAAAAGGUAAACCCUGCUCUCUACUCUCAGCCAGUCUUCACCGUCUUCCUCAAACCCCUGCUCUAUCAAUAAAAACGAGGUAAAGAUUUUGUCCUCUUUUCAUCCUCUUUCUCAACGAACAAUAUCUCUCCCUCCGGCUUGCUUUCCUAGGAACAGCCAAGGCCCAAUGCUCAGGAGGAAGAUAAUAGUCCGGAUGCUUGUGAUACACAUGAAUCUACAAAUAAUGAAAGAACCCUAAGGCAACCAAGACAAUUAGUGUCAGAUAAUUAAUUAUGAAGAAAGUGAGCGUGUCACUUUCUUUAAGCGAUGAGCUAGGUUGAAAGUUGAAACCAUGCGCCCCUGGUAAUGCGCAGUAAUCUAAGUAUCCCCGAUCGAGAAAUCACGUGCAUUGCUCAGGAAUCAGCACCAGAUGAUGAGAAUAUAACUGCCUCAUGAGAACACAUGCUUUAUACAAAUAAACAAGGAUAUAGUGGAUCGAUUGCGAAAUAAUUUUUUUAUGAUAAAAUAAAACUGCGUACACUCCUGCCUCUACAUAUUAAAUUCCUAGUGCCUCAUAAUUAUAGCUCAUCCUUUUCCUUUUGUUUUUUUUGUAUUGUUUUUUUUUUGGUAAGAUUAGCCUUUGCUAUCUGUGGAUCUACCACAUCUUUUAGGGGGCCACCUAUUUGGUAUACGCACCAUCUCCAUUACGGACGCAUCUACAUCGUACAACGUUGAUUAUUUUUAUGUGAAUUUUUCUAAUGUAUUUUAGAGUUUGAAUCUUUUACCUCAAAUUUCAUAACAAUAUAUUGAAAACUUUCGACUCGAAUUUUGAACUCAAAUUUCAAAACAUUCAUCUAAAAAAUUCAAAAUUCUCAACUCAAAUUUUAAAAACUUUUAAAUCAGAAUUUAAAAUUUUCAAAUUUGAUUUGAAAGUUUUCAAAUUUGAGUUGGAAGUUUUCAUAUCUGAAUUGAAAGAUCGAUUUGACUUGAAAGUUUUCAAAUCUAAGUUAAAAUUUUUCGUAUAUGAGAUUAAAGGUUUACAAUCUUGAAUUGAAAAUUUUCUAGUAAGAGAAGGAGAAGGAGAUUGGAUAUGGUGUGUGCUACUUCUCUUGCUAGUGCAUAUAUGCUAAAUAGGAUUCAUGCAUCUUUCAUGGAUUGGGUUUAGAUCAAUAGAAGAACACAAAGAUAUAAGUGGAUUACUUGUACUUUGCAAUUGGAUACGUACCAUUUUUGAAAUUAGGAUGGACCCAUCAUUUUGUGGGUGAGCAUUGCAAUGGACAUAAAUAACUAGGGAUGAAAACGGUCAGAAACGAUCGGAAAACAGCCUCAACCAUUUCCGUAACCAUAUUUUUCUCGGAAACGAAAUCGGAAACGGUAAAGUCGGAAACGAAAACGAUAUCGGAAAUAUCGGAAAACCGGAAACGGAACAAUACGGACGGAAACAUGUCGGUACAGAUCGGAAACCGAUAACAAAUACGGAAACAUUAAACUAUAAAAACAUAUAUUUAACUUUACAUAAGUAUGUUAUAUAUAUAUACAUAAAUUCAAGCUUAUACUAUAUAAAUUAUAAAUUAACUUCAUUUUAGCCAUGUACAAAAGUUAGAGAUUUUAUUGAAGAGUCAUUCAAUCUAUAAGCUGUGGGUCAAGUAUAGACAUGUCCUAUAAUAUCGACAUAUUUAGAAUACGGUAAUUAUCAUAUUAUAAGAAAUGGUAAUUUCCGCGAGAAUACGGUAAAUACGGAAACGAUCGGUAUAACAGCAAAACCAUUUCCGUUUUCAUUUCCAUAUUUUUACCAUUUCCAUUUUUGUUUCGGUCGAUUACCAUUUCCAUAUGGCCCGGCCGGUAGAAAGUCGAAAACGAACGCCGGUCGGCCGGUAAUUACCGUUACCGUUUUCACCCCUAUAAAUAACCAUCAACUUGGGCUUCGAUGUGCACUACUCCAUGAGCUAUGUUGAGGGCAAACCACUUGUGCAAUUGCUCAUCAUUUCUUAUCUCAACAAAUUCGCCAUCAAUAACAUGUCAUAAAAAAAAACGUAUUGGUUAGAACCCCACACAAUUUUUGAGCCGAUAAAAUCAAUUAAUUACUACAAUGUGAAGCUAUGCAUGCCAAGUUUUGUUAUGAAAUGUGCUUAGCGGUGUUACCUAGCUGAGGGUCACGCGUCAUCACGUACUGGGCCACCCCUCAAGGUCACCCGGCCACCCAUCAAGUUGCCAGGUGUGCGUGAUGACGCGGCCCAGCCACUGCUCCCUCCCGCAGUACACUGCAGCAACAUCCAAGCGCCACCACCACCACUCCUUCCGCCCUAGCCUACCACAGCUCCCUUCAUGUCAGUGAUGAAAACCCUAGCGCUAACUCAGUCAUGCCACCGAGAUGAAUUCGGUCGGGACUGGAUGAGAAAGUUGGGGAUAUGGUUGAUGUGUAAUUAAGGGCAUUUUGGUCAGUUUGAGCUAGUUUUUUCCUAAACAAAAACCUAACGGUUAAUAAAAACAAGGUCAGACGAUAAAUGAUUAAACUUAAGAAAAUAGGGGCAGAUUGGUAGAUAACCUUAAGAAUAGAAUAAAAUGAUCAAUUAUCCCUUUUUUUUUCUACAUCAAGAGGAUAGGAGAGGGGGAGUGCGUGGUUGUGACUUGUGAGGCACCAUACUUACGCUAAAUCACAUGCCAUGUUUUAUAUAGUAGUUCUUGCAAAUAAGGCAAACUCUAUUAGUCUCGAGGAGACGUCCUCUCAUUUCUUUGCAUAUCAUCCAUCUAUAAGUUACAGCGAAAAUAAAUAAAUACGACGGUGAGAACAUGUAUACAAAUCAAUUAUAGUUAAAUUCAUUAUUUUUUUUUGUUAAAACUUAUAGUUUAAUUCGUUAUUAUAGUUAAAUUUAAACUUGCAUGUUUGUGGAGUUAUAUGUUACAUACCAAUCUCUAUCUUAUCUUUAUUUUUUUUAGAAAUAAAUUAUGACUAUUUAAAUGACAUGCAAUUGGGAACAUCCCUUGAAGGAUUAAAAUUUAUUUCCUGAAAUAAGCUAUAUUAUUUUGUACAGUGUACUUCAACAAUCAACAACAUAAUUCAUAUAUAACUUCCAAUAAAGUACAAACCCAAAUUAAGUCCGUAGCACAGAUACCCCGUCAGAGCGCACCAGUUUAUGACUAGCAAACUUUCACUCAUAAACAAAGACUUGGAUAACAUAACAUAAACAACUUUCACUCAAACGUAAAUGCUCAGAAUUAUUAAUCCUAGUGAAGAAGCUUCUUCAUCUCAUAUUCUCAUCGAUCAGCACUACGUUUCUUGUUCAUGGAAGCAGCUUCAGAGGCCUGAUCAUGGCGUUGUCUUCGUGAUCCAGGAUCUGCACAGUCAAAAUAAAUUAGAAAUGGAGCAACUGAUCAAUGAACACGAUAACGAACGGGCACGUCGAGCAUAUGACGUGGCGCUUACGUGGCAGUGGUAGACGAAUCCCGGCUCGGUGGUGGCGUCGAAGGGGUAGGGCUGAUUGGCCUCGACAAGCCUGAACGCCACCACCACCGACGUCAUGAACUCCGGCGGAAUCUUCACCGCGUUCUUCCACGUCUUCUCCUCCUCCGGCACCGGCACGACGGGCCCGACGGCGUGCUGGUCGAGGUUGCACGUGGCGGUGUUGUUGUUUUUGAUCAUGCAGUCCUUGAACACCUGGAAUCCCUCGAUCUUCGUCAUCUUGAUGGCCUGGAACGUGGCAAUGUGGAGGUGCAGCGGGUGGUUGUCGCCGGUGAGGUUGAUCACCUGCCACAGCUCCGUCGUGCCGGACUUGGGCGUCUCCGUCACCGGGUCCUCCAGCCGGAGGCCGUUGAUGUAGAGGUUCCCCGGCGCGGUCUGGUUCUCGUACAGGACGAUGUACCUCGUCGUCGUCGGCGGCGGGAGCGCCGCCACGCUCGCGUACGGCACGCCGUGCUCCGGCACCUUGGAUUUGUCCGGCAUGUCGUCGACCUUCCCCUUGCCGGCGACCUUGAACAGCAUCACCUUCCCGUCGAGGUUCGGGUCCGUCACAUUAGGGCCGUUGGGGAACGGGUAGGGCGCCGUGUUGAGCAUCUCGAUCUCGGUCAUCGCCGCCGGCAACCGGGAGAAGUCGACGAUGACGUCGAAGAUCUCGGCCGGCGAGAGGACGAGGUUGGAGACGGUGACCGGCCUGGAGAGGUAGGAGGAGUCGGAGCCAAUGACGGUGAAGGGGAGGGCGCCAUUGGAGAGCGUGACGUUGAAGUAUCUGGCGUUGCUGGCGUUGAGGAUGCGGAGGCGGUAGCGGCGGCGCUGGACGCUGAGGUACGGCCACGCCUUGCCGUUGACGGUGAUGACGAGGCCGAAGUACUCCGGCUUCCACUCCCGGUCGAUGGAGAUGGAGCCAUUGGUGUAGAACUCGCGGUCGGCGAUGACGAGGUGGAGGUCGUGGUCGCCGCAGGGGAGGUUCAUGGGGUCCUCGAGCUCGGGCUUCUCGAUGACGUAGGCGGCGAGGAGGCCGGCGAGGAGGCUGACGCGGGUGAGGCCGAGGGCGUGGUCGUGGUACCAGAGGUUGCCCGGCGCCUGCACGUUGGGGUAGGUGUAGGUCUUCCGCGUCCAUGUGCUGCCGUUCUCGGCGAAGUCGCGGGUGAACCAGGCGAAGGCGUGGCCGUCGAACUCCGGCGGGUGGGCGCCGCCGUGGAGGUGAACGACGGUGGGGACGCCGCCCUUCUUGGGGAUGGCGGUGGGGACCUUGGGGUCCCACGGGAGGAUGUGGGCGUCGGGGAGGUGGUUCUGCCACUCCACGGCGAGCGGCACGCCCUGCCGCGCCACGAUGGUGGGCCCCGGGAACGUCGCUGUCUGCAGCGAUUGCCCGUACACGAACACCGGCGUCGGUGGCAUGUCGCGGUGGAAUUGCUGCAUGCGCAAGCAUCCCAUUUUGAAAUUAUUUUUCGAUUUUGCUACAUGUUUAUUGAUAUUUUUUUUCUUGAAAGUUCUUUUUUUUUCUUGAAAGUUCGAUAGACAUAAAUAUAUUUAACCGUAUAAUAUAGCUACAUUGUAACUUCUAUAGAUGUACUGACUUUGGUCAAAAUUAAACUGUUUCAAAUUUAUUUAAGUUCAUAGACAAAUAUAGUAAUAUUAAUAAUACUAAACUAGUUUUUAUCAAAUCAAUAAUUGAAUAUAUUUUCAUAAUAAAAUUGUCUUGGGUUGAAAAUGUUAUUGCUAUUUUUACAAGCUUAAUCAAACUUAGAGCACUUUGACUCAAAGUCAAAAUGUCUUAUAACUGAAAUAGAGGGAGUAUAUAACUGAAAUAGAGGGAGUAUAUAAUAUAAUUUAUAUGAAACUUUCACAUAUAUAGGUAGUCCUUUUUUAUUUUCUUACCGGUAAAUUUUAGCAUAUUUACAUUAUUUAUUAUUUUUUAGUAAUAAGACAAAUAGUCAAACAUAAUUUCAAAAGUCAUAUAUAUCAUCUAAUAAAAAAUGAAGGUAGUAUAUUGUUGGAUCUAAAAAUAAAUAUCUAAGAUUUGUUCAUGACACCAAAAUUGAAAUUUUUACUCCCAGAUUUAAUCAUGAAUAACAGUUUUACUUAUGAUAAUAUGGAUAAAUCUCAAGCGUAUAUAUUUUUCUUAAUUUAAUGGUAGUUUACAUGUCUUCACUAUAUACGUUGGUCUGGAUAUUAGAUAUAUAUUUUCCCGUAAUCACAACGUACGUACCCAUGUCUUGCUGUACAUGCCGAUGGUGAGCUUGAUGGGCACUGGACGGCCAUGGCGGAUGCCGUAGCCCCGGAUCUUGGCAAUCCGCGGCAGCGAGUCCACGUACUUUGUCAGGUUCAAGCUCGUCAUCACCGGCCACCGCCGCCGCCCCGCCGCCGGCGCCGGCAGCGGAUGAUCCGGUGGUGUGUACUCGUCGUCGUUGGGGUCAUCUGACGCCCAACCCCAGCGACUUUUGCUAAUCACGCUGCAGAUGUAGCUUGGGAUUAAAGAAUCACUCUUACAGUUAAGUAUUGACAUUACUGUAUCCCAUUGAGUUUGGUAAUUUUUUGCUGCUGCAGGUUCAUCCCUGGCGGCUG
rnacentral:lncRNA from 1 species